CAAAGGGCCAUCGCCAAUAGUUCCACUUGUGCUUGUGGUACUCUUCGGAUGGUUCCUAUGCGGCUCGUACCUUGUCUCACUAUUAGAAGAUGUUGUAUUACCAAUCUUACAAACCGGAACGUUCAUUGUAGGAAUCUUUCUCUUGCUUCUCCUUUUGCUUCUCCAUGUCUUAUCUUCUUCUUGGAUCUAUCCAUGGAUCCCUUCUCUUCUUCUUUUACCAUCUCCGGCUUCCACGACUUCUACUGACUCAGACAGCUUUGGUCUUGGAUCGUUUCUUUUGUUCACACUUUUUCUCAUCUCUUUCUGGUUUUUUGGGUCACUCUAAUGUUUAUUCUACUUGUGAAUUGUAUAUUCCUGAUUGAUCAUGCAAAAUAUUGCUAUACACUUUAUACAUGCAAAAUAUUGCUAUACAUGUUGUACAUCAUGCAAGAUUCCAACACAAAAUGUUUAGCAAGAAUUUGUUUAAAAUUAAUUUAUUAUUAAUUACUGCAUCGCUCUUAUUCCAUUUUCAAUGUAAUACAACAUAUAUCAUCCGUGAAAACAACAUAAGAGAGACAACCUAGCUACUAGGCUACUAGCUAGGAGCCUAGGAGUUGCAUAAUAAUGAGUCGAAAGAAGAUGUUAUAUAAUAAGUCUCCGUGCAACCACCUUUGACGACCAACCAGCACGAAGUACAUGCCACAGACGAAAGAUCACAUGCAUUGUUUUGGGUUUUUACAUUAUAAAUAGGGUCAGAUUUUGAGUAAUAUGUGUGUUUAAAUGAGGUAAAAAUAUAUAAGAAAAUAAAAUUGCAAGAAACUUCUUACUUCAUUUUAUUAUUUUUUCCAAAACUUUUGUGAAGAUGUACAAAAC